UAGAGUGUGUAAUUCACGAAGUAUGAAUCUGCUGGGUAAUGUGAUAUGAAAAGCGAAUGCACCAUUUCUUGGUGAUGAUUCAGGUCAGCGUUGGGACCCAGGAAUCUCCUGUUAAUCAGUACCCUGGUGAUUUUGAUCCAGAGACGGGGUCUAUUAUCUGGUCCUGUUGUCAAGGCUGGUCUCAAACUCCUGGCCUCCAGCGAUCCUCCCUUUUUGGCCUCCCAAGAUGCUGGUAUUACAGGCAUGAGCCACCAUGGUCCACCUGGACUCCUUUUCAUAGGAGACAGUUCCCUAGGCAGAGACUGGGCUUGAAACAGUUCUGGAGGCUGAGGAGCCCAAGGUUGAGGGGCUUCAUCUGGUGGGAGCCUUCUUGCUGGUGGAGACUCUGAAGAGUCCCGAAGUGGUGUGGGGAAUCAUAUGGUUUGUUUUUUAUCAGUGUGUUGUACAGAGCGAAUGGCCUCGGACCUUCAAUGGCUGUGCACUGCUUUCUCAGGACUUUCCCUUGGAGGGAAGCACUGACCCUUAUCUCUUUCCCUUUUCUCCACCAUUAGAGCUCAGAGAUCCCCAGAGGCAAAGCGGGGAAAGUUUUAGAAAUCAUCGUCACUCUGGAAAGCUUUCAGAUCACAGAUUCCUGCUCAUAAGUGGAUAAAUGAUGCAGUAAAAUUGAACAAACACAGCUCGUCCUACAUUCUGAAUAUGGGGCACAUUUAUCAGGAAUUAUAAACAGGCACGUGGAUUAUAAAUAGGGAUCAUCUAAUUCUACAACAGGAUUGCUGUCUGAACACUUGAGAUAAAUCUUCAUUCACUCUCUGGAAUUGCUCAACACACAGGUUAAUUUCUCACUAUUGAUUUUCUCCAGUAUGCUUCUUGAAUGCUUCGAGAUCUCUUGACCUAUACAAAAUAUCUCUGUGACAGAAGGUUAAAAAAAUAGCUCUUCAAAUUUAUGACAAACCCACAGCCAAUAUCAUACUCAAUGGGCAAAAGCUGGAAGCAUUCCCUUUGAAAACUGGCACAAGACAAGGAUGUCCUCUCACCACUCCUAUUCAAAUUAUUAUUGGAAGUUCUGGCCAGGGCAAUUGGGCAAGAGAAAGAAAUAAAGGGUAUUCAAAUAGGAAGACAGGGAGUCAAAUUAUCUCUGUUUGCAGAUGACAUGAUUGUAUAUUCAGAAAACCCCAUUGUCUCAGCCCAAAAACUCCUUAAGCUGAUAAGCAACUUCAGCAAAGUCUCAGGAUACAAAAUCAAUGUGCAAAAAUCACAGGCAUUCCUAUACACCACUAAUAGAGAGCCAAAUCAUGAGUGAACUCCCAUUCACAAUUACUACAAAGAAAAUAAAAUGCCUAGGAAUACAACUUACAAAGGGAUGUGAAGGACUUCAUGCUACCUGACUUCAAACUAUGCUACAAGGCUACAGUAACCAAAACAGCAUGGUACUGGUACGAAAACAGAUAUGUAGACCAACGGAGGAGAAUAGAGGCCUCAGAAAUAAAGCCACACAUCUACAACCAUCUGAUCUUUGACAAACCUGACAAAAACAAGCAAUGGAGAAAAGACUCCCUAUUUAAUAAAUGGUGUUGGGAAAACUGGCUAGCCAUAUGCAGAAAACUGAAACUGGACUCCUUCAUUACACCUUGUACAAAAAUUAACUCAAGAUGUAUUAAAGACUUAAACAUAAGACCCAAAACCAUAAAAACCUUAGAAGAAAACCUAAGCAAUGCCAUUCAGGACAUAGGCAUGGGCAAAGACUUCAUGACUAAAACAUUAAAGCAAUGGCAACAAAAGCCAAAAUUGACAAAUGGGAUCUAAUUAAACUAAAGAGCUUCUGCACAGCAAAAUGAACUAUCAUCAGAGUGAACAGGCAACCUACAGAAUGGGAGAACAUUUUUGCAAUCCAUCUAUCUGACAAAGGGCUAAUAUCCAGAAUCUACAAAGAACUUAAACAAAUUUACAACAAAAAAAUGACCCCAUCAAAAAGUGGGCAAAGGAUAUGAACAGACAACUCUCAAAAGGAGACAUUUAUGCAGCCAACAAACAUAUGAAAAAAAGCUCAUCAUCACUGGUCGUUAGAGAAAUGCAAAUCAAAACCACAAUGAGAUAACAUCUCACACCAGUUAGAAUGGCGAUCAUUAAAAAGUCAGGAAACAACAGAUGCUGGAGAGGAUGUGGAGAAAUAGGAACAAUUUUACACUGGUGGUGGGAGUGUAAAUUAGUUCAACCAUUGUGGAAGACAGUGUGGCGUUUCCCCAAGGAUCUAGAACUGGAAAUACCAUUUGACCCAGCAAUUCCAUUAGUGGGUAUAUACCCAAAGGAUUAGAAAUCAUUCUACUAUAAAGACACAUGCACACAUACUUUUAUUGCAGCACUGUUUGCAAUAGCAAAGACUUGGAACCAAUCCAAAUGCCCAUCAAUGAUAGACUGGAUAAAGAAAAUGUGGCACAUAUACACCAUGGAAUACUAUGCAGCCAUAAAAAAGGAUGAGUUCAUGUCCUUUGCAGGGACAUGGAUGAAGCUGGAAACCAUCAUUCUCAGCAAACUAACACAGGAACAGAAAACCAAACACCAUAUAUUCUCACUCAUAAGUGGGAGCUGAACAAUGAGAACACAUGGACACAGGGAGGGGAACAUCAUACACUGGGGGAACAUCACACACUGGGGUCUGUCAGUGGGUGGGGGACUAGGGGAAGGAAAGCAUUAGGAGAAGUACCUAAUGUAGAUGAGGAGUUGAUGGGUGCAGCGAACUACCAUGGCAUGUGUAUACUUAUGUAACAAACCUGCACAUUCUCCACAUGUAUCCCAGAACUUAAAGUAUAAUCAAAAAGAAAAAGAAAAAAAAUAGCUCUUCAAAAGAAUGCUUGAAAAAUCAGUAAAGAUAAUGAAAUAACUCUUCCCCAACUAUAGCCUGGUUGUUUAACUAGACAUUUUCAUUAAGUUUCAGGGAGAUAACAAAAUCAUGAACAUGUAUAAGAAGAGGCUUCAUGUACUGUAUUAAAGUUUUUGAGUGUGAAUAUUACUUUAGUGGGUAUCCCCAGGGAGGCAUAGUAUUCUCAACUAGUGACUGAAAAUCUCAAGUUAAAUCACAGUAAUAUCCAGAACCAGCUUGCGUAAGAGUGAGGCAACACAGUACAAGAUAAAAAACACAGGAAUAGGGCUCAGAAGACAUCAGCCUUGCCAGGAGUUGGGCCUUUCUGGGCUUUUGUGAUUCAUCUGAAGAAGUAAAGGGACUGGAUCCUAGGAGUCCUCCCAAUUCUAAAAUUUAAUGCUCUAGAUCCAAGAUGUUAUAUAAAUUUUUAUUAACAGGAAAACCAACUUCAAACAAAAAACAAAAAGAAAGCAAAGUUAAAACAUUUUUAUACCAAAAAAACUUGAGAGAUGUAUAAUAAACAUGAUUCUUUUUUCCCAAGAACCACCUUGAUACCUGUAUUUUCUUCCCCCAACGUGAUAUUAUUGAACAGUAAAAAAUUGCUUUAAGGAUUAAGUGUUCCAUUUAGUUGUUGGAGCAUUCCUUUCUUCAUCCC